rnacentral:rRNA from 1 species
GACGUUGAUAGGUCAGGUGUGGAAGUGCAGUAAUGCAUUAAGCUAACUGAUACUAAUUGCCCGUACGGCUUGUCCCU